GAUGAACGCUGGCGGCGUGCCUAAUACAUGCAAGUCGAGCGAACGGACGAGGAGCUUGCUUCUCUGAUGUUAGCGGCGGACGGGUGAGUAACACGUGGAUAACCUACCUAUAAGACUGGGAUAACUUCGGGAAACCGGAGCUAAUACCGGAUAAUAUUUUGAACCGCAUGGUUCAAUAGUGAAAGACGGUUUUGCUGUCACUUAUAGAUGGAUCCGCGCUGCAUUAGCUAGUUGGUAAGGUAACGGCUUACCAAGGCAACGAUGCGUAGCCGACCUGAGAGGGUGAUCGGCCACACUGGAACUGAGACACGGUCCAGACUCCUACGGGAGGCAGCAGUAGGGAAUCUUCCGCAAUGGGCGAAAGCCUGACGGAGCAACGCCGCGUGAGUGAUGAAGGUCUUCGGAUCGUAAAACUCUGUUAUUAGGGAAGAACAGAUGUGUAAGUAACUGUGCACGUCUUGACGGUACCUAAUCAGAAAGCCACGGCUAACUACGUG
rnacentral:rRNA from 1 species